AUCUCAUGUUCAGCAUGUUGUCCUGAUUUUAUCAUUCUGUUAUGUGAAUGCAAGAAAGUCACUCACAGACUAGAGCAAGAAGUCGAGAACUAGUGGUAAGAUGGGCUGCCUGUAUUACCAUGGAUACAUACAGAUGGACACUUUGUGACCUCACCUAGUGAGACAGCCCCACAGCCUGGCUACCUAGUAGCUUCAACAAGCGUGAAACAACCACUCCCUAGAAACACAAGAUUACAAGGUCCCAGGCACCCGGCAAAACAAAUUCUGGUGGCCCCAUCACAGAAGAGGGAAUUGUAACCACACAUAUGCGGAGUGCUGACUCUGAAGUCAAGCAGCUACAAAUGCUAGGACUGAAACUGCUGCUGGAUAGCAAAACCUGUGAUUCCCCAAUGGUUAUAGGAAUGCCUUCACUAUCUUCUGCUUCCUCCACAUAUUGAGAGACUUGUAUACCUCAUCAGAUGAGAGAAAGGCAGAGAAAUAGCUUAAUGGGAAAGCAGAAAAAGAAAGGGAAAGCAGCAAGGGCCCAAAAGAAUAUCGGAAAAACAAACACAUAUGAGUACUUAGGAACAAGCAAGAGCUACCAGAAAGAUGAGUAAAAGACAAAAAAUAUUUCUGAAGAAAACCAGCCACAGAGAAGAGUCAAUUUUAAAAACUGUGAUGAGAAUCACUAAACAUGUGAGAAUUAUUGUAUCUUCUACAUGCAUUUUUCUAUGUAUUUAUGUAUUUAUGUCAUUCUAAUCAUCAAUGUCUCUGGAUUUUACUUCAAAAUAUGUAGGGAAAAGGAGUGCUGGAGUAUUACUGAGAUAAUGCUGAAGUAUUACUUCAUACCAGUUCUGCGAUUGAUCAUAGAUAUAACAACAAGCUCAGAUCAUCCACCAGGAAUAAAUUUCACAGAACAAGUGCUUUUAGAAAUACAGAUACGGAAAAAAAUGAAAGAAAAUCCAUUAUAUUAUUCUUCCAACAGGAUAUCCAAAAUCUCCAAACUGGCAUCAGACAGAUUUUCACCUUUAUGGUUAAUUUCCUCUCAUCUUACUUUCCUUUCUGUACUCUGACCUUACGAACCAUAUGGUUCCCUCCAGAAUAAUUCUGGCACUGUUCUUAUUUUUGUUUUCUUUCCAAUUUUAGCUACAUGUGCCAUUAGAGCACCUAUUUAGAAUCAAUGCAGAUUGAUUAAUAUAAUAUUGUGCCUUCCAGAAAGAGGAAGAGAAAGAAAAUGAACAAAAUAUGUGGGAGAGAGAAGUAGUGAGAGUAGAGUUGGAAACAUCUGGCAAUGUAUGCAUGUUCUGGAAUUCAAACAGAUUAUUAAAUCUGUAACUUAGUAACGUAAUACAUACGAUUCUGAAGUACUUAGCAUUGAGUGGUGACAAAAUAAGAUAGCCUUUUGCAAAGGGAAUAUAAAAUCACUACUUGCUUUUAGUUUCAGUCUUAUCCAAAUUAACAGGCCAGUAAAGUUUUGAUAAUUUAUGAUCCAGUAUGAUAUAAACACAUGUCUUGUGUUAAAGUCAUCUUUUCUACCAUGACAACAUACUGUAUGUUUUGGAAGUUACCACUUAUGAAAAAGUACCACAUAGAGGCAAGAACUGCACUGGUAGUGUUUUGACUAAGCAAGCAGACAUAAAUCACAUUAUACCGGAUAAAAAAAUUGUUUAUGAUGAAAAUAUAGAAGGUUAGUGAUUAGAAAAAGUAAUUAGCAGAAAAUAAUGUAAGGAAGAUUAUCACCUAAGCAAAGACAUUACUGCUGUUUGCCAGAGUAUCAAUUUCAUAGCCUUUGCCCAGUCCUUCAUUUGAUAAAUUUACAAAUGUGUAAUGAAUUCCUUUAAAAGAUUACCAUGACAAACAACAUUAUAAUGAAAUUUUUUACACUGCUGCAGUUAAUACUGCAUCUGCAAUUUUGCUUUAAUUCCUAACUACAAAGAUUCAUAACUCUGUGGUAAAAGCACUCCAGAAUGAAGCUUGGCAUACCAAAGUUCAGUCAUAAACGCUGUGUUUCAAAUAGGAAGAAAAAUGUGUUCAAGUUUAAAGUUCUGAUACAAAAGUAUGAUAUUGUAAAAGUUAUUUUAUUAUUUUAACACUAAGAAACAUGUCAAGAUUGUGUGUGCCUUUUUCUAAUGUUUUUGUGUGUGUGUUUGUUUUUUUUAUAAAAAAUAGAUUUAUCGUGAUAAACUGAUGGUAUUUAAAAUUUUUCAGAAAUGUUUUGGUCCUGUACACAUAUCCACUACUUUGUCUGCAAGUAUUCUGCAGUGAUUUUUAGCCUACUAAUUAAAGCCUCUAUAUACAAAUGGUUUUGACUACAACACCAUUAAGUUCUUAUUGUAUCUCUUUUUUUUUUUCAGUUAUCCAUGAAAUAUGAUGAAUAAUGUUAAGUUCAGACAGAGAUAAAUGUGAGAAACUUUAGAAGGAAUAAUGGACUUUCAAAAUUAAUACUGUUUUUUUACCUUAUUCACCCUCACAGAGCUGCUACAGUUUCAUCAGAAAGUCACUCUACCAUGAGUAACAUAAUGAACAUAAAUAAUACCUUUGUUUUUCACAAAAUGUAUUGCAACUUUUCUAUUGUGGACAAUCAAAAUGAUGAGCACUUGUCUCUGCUAGUGAGAAAGCCUUGUAUGGCUUUUAUUUAAGCACUUACUACCACAGACCUGUUUCUCCUGAAUGAUUUCACAUAAGCUCCAGGUUUCUUUCAACUCAGAGUCCUGAAUCCUAAAUGGCAGGCAUUCAUUUCUGUUGAGAUGCCAUCUCACGACACACUGGUUUUGAUGUGGUAAAAAGACAACGGUAAAUUUUAUUUUGUUGGUGUUGUGAUUACAUUAUUUUGACUUUGAUGUGAGGAAUGUGUAUGGUUGGUGUAAGAAAGUUUGUGCAGAUUGUAAUGAAUGUAUAUUUUAAUGAUUUAUCCUCAACUAGUUUUAAAUUGCACUUCUGCCAAACAAAUAAGUGGCUUCAUAAUUAUAAUUUGGCUCCUCUUAUUCACUGUAUAAGAAAAAAAAAAAAAAAAAACAUUAUAAGCACCUCACAAAUGCUGAAGAAGGGACAUCACUUAGAGUAAUUCUUAAUUAAAAGCCACUCUCUAUAAGUUUCCAUUCAAUGUAUCACAUUAAAUUAACUGUUCGGAAAUCACCAAAAAGAGAGAACAUUAAAAAAAAAAAAAAAAAAAAAAGUUGUAAAAUGCAAAUUUUAAAAUACACUGGGAGGAUAAAUGUCAUUUUUAAAUUGGAUAUCAUUGCCUUUGCUAACAACAACAUGAGAUUUACAAGACUGAGAAAGAAAAAGGUAAAUUAAUUUUCACCAUUUGUGUUGUUCAUUGCCAAAGGCCAGUCUCUGCUGAGAGAGAGUAUGUACCUACACCUGGUAGCAUGUGAGUAUGUUCACAACUACCUUCCCCAAAAGAAGCAAAGGAAAAUGGCAUUAAAAAAAUCCAAUGACACAAUUUAUUAGCAAUAGGAGAAAUAUAGUUUUCCAAAGCAAUUAGCUUUGCAGUGAUAGCAAGAAGUAAUACUGAUCACAAGGUACAUGAAACCAGAAAGAGUUAAACGUUUGCUGUAAAGAAAAAAAAAGGCAGCUUGCCAAUUUUAUCAUCUCAGCAGAGCUACUACAGCAAAACAGCUACUAUAGCAAAAGAGCUUCCUUUUUCCCACAGCAGCAGGAGAUCUCCAGAUGAUUUUAAAAUCUAGGAUUAAUUAUUAUAUAUCACUCUAGGCUAUCUUUUCUGUUUAUAACAAAUGUAGUAGGGGCUGAA